rnacentral:rRNA from 1 species
UACGUAGGGUGCGAGCGUUAAUCGGAAUUACUGGGCGUAAAGCGUGCGCAGGCGGUUCGCUAAGACCGAUGUGAAAUCCCCGGGCUUAACCUGGGAACUGCAUUGGUGACUGGCGGGCUAGAGUGUGGCAGAGGGGGGUAGAAUUCCACGUGUAGCAGUGAAAUGCGUAGAUAUGCGGAGGAACACCGAUGGCGAAGGCAAUCCCCUGGGCCUGCACUGACGCUCAUGCACGAAAGCGUGGGGAGCAAACAGG